rnacentral:rRNA from 1 species
ACGUACACUCCUGCGGGAGGCAGCAGUGGGGAAUAUUGGACAAUGGGCGCAAGCCUGAUCCAGCCAUGCCGCGUGAGUGAUGAACGCCCUAGGGUUGUAAAGCCCUUUUGUGCGGGAAGAUAAUGACGGUACCGCAAGAAUAAGCUCCGGCUAACUUCGUGCCAGCAGCCGCGGUAAUACGAAGGGGGCUAGCGUUGCUCGGAAUCACUGGGCGUAAAGGGUGCGUAGGCGGGUCUUUAAGUCAGGGGUGAAAUCCUGGAGCUCAACUCCAGAACUGCCUUUGAUACUGAAGAUCUUGAGUUCGGGUGAGGGGAGUGGAACUGCGAGUGUAGAGGUGAAAUUCGUAGAUAUUCGCAAGAACACCAGUGGCGAAGGCGGCUCACUGGCCCGAUACUGACGCUGAGGCACGAAAGCGUGGGGAGCAAACAGGAUUAGAAACCCUAGUAGUCCC